rnacentral:tRNA from 1 species
GUCCUCGUAGCUUAUGGAAAGCAUGACACUGAAGAUGUCAAGAUGGUUGCUACAUGCACCCAAGGACA